rnacentral:tRNA from 1 species
GGAUAGCUCAGUUGGAUAGAGCAUGGUGCUGAUAAUACAAAGGUUGCAGGUUUGAUCCCCGUAUGAGACA